GACCUGUGAUGUAUCGGUAAAAUUGUCCGUACCAUCUGAUUGAGGAUCUCACUUAGAUCCUUUCUCUGAUGAUUCUUAAAGCCUAUAUUCUGAGGUCU